rnacentral:rRNA from 1 species
GGGUGCGAUCAUACCAGCACUAAUGCACCGCCUUUAUAUAAUAGAAUGCGCAAGAAUUGAUGGGUGGAGAGUAGUACUUGGAUGGGUGACCUCUUGGGAAGUUCUCGUGUUGCACCCCUC